GUUUAUGGCCAUACAACUUUGAACACAUCCCAUCUCAUCUGAUCUCGGAAGCUAAGCAGGAUGGGGCCUGAUUAGUACUUGGAUGGGAAACAUGUUUCUUAAGCC
rnacentral:rRNA from 1 species